ensembl:misc_RNA 7SK 7SK RNA
AGAUGUGAGGGUUUUCUGGCUGUGGCAACUGUCACCCCAUUGAUCUCACUGAAGUUGAUUUGGCAGAUCUGGUUGGCUAGGUGAGUGACCCUUUCCUCCCUCUGCACUCUUUGUGUCCUCCCAAAGCUUCGUGCUGGUUGAAGAGGAAGACCAUUUCCAUAUAGGAGAACUGUUUCCUUGGUCAAGGAUAUACAAGUAUCUGUGCUUCCCUGCUAGAACCUUUCAAGGCUAUGUGUCAUCUCUCUUUUUAAAAAAUACCUAGACAUUGUAAAUAUUUUAUCAUUUUAU